CAGCAGCCACGGUAAUACGAAGGGUGCAAGCGUUAAUCGGAAUUACUGGGCGUAAAGCGCGCGUAGGUGGUUUGUUAAGUUGGAUGUGAAAUCCCCGGGCUCAACCUGGGAACUGCAUUCAAAACUGACUGACUAGAGUAUGGUAGAGGGUGGUGGAAUUUCCUGUGUAGCGGCGAAAUGCGUAGAUAUAGGAAGGAACACCAGUGGCGAAGGCGACCACCUGGACUAAUACUGACACUGAGGUGCGAAAGCGUGGGGAGCAAACAGGAUUAGAUACCCCAGUAGUCCCUGUCUCUUAUAC
rnacentral:rRNA from 1 species